rnacentral:rRNA from 1 species
GACGAACGCUGGCGGCGCGCCUAACACAUGCAAGUCGAACGAGCGAGAGAGGGCUUGCUUUCUCGAGCGAGUGGCGAACGGGUGAGUAACGCGUGAGGAACCUGCCUCAAAGAGGGGGACAACAGUUGGAAACGACUGCUAAUACCGCAUAAGCCCACGGGUCGGCAUCGACCAGAGGGAAAAGGAGCAAUCCGCUUUGAGAUGGCCUCGCGUCCGAUUAGCUAGUUGGUGAGGUAAUGGCCCACCAAGGCGACGAUCGGUAGCCGGACUGAGAGGUUGAACGGCCACAUUGGGACUGAGACACGGCCCAGACUCCUACGGGAGGCAGCAGUGGGGAAUAUUGCACAAUGGGGGAAACCCUGAUGCAGCGACGCCGCGUGGAGGAAGAAGGUCUUCGGAUUGUAAACUCCUGUUGUUGGGGAAGAUAAUGACGGUACCCAACAAGGAAGUGACGGCUAACUACGUG